rnacentral:rRNA from 1 species
AUUGAACGCUGGCGGCAGGCCUAACACAUGCAAGUCGGACGGUAGCACAGGGGAGCUUGCUCCUCGGGUGACGAGUGGCGGACGGGUGAGUAAUGUCUGGGGAUCUGCCCGAUAGAGGGGGAUAACCACUGGAAACGGUGGCUAAUACCGCAUAAUGUUGCAAGACCAAAGAGGGGGACCUUCGGGCCUCUCACUAUCGGAUGAACCCAGAUGGGAUUAGCUAGUAGGCGGGGUAGCGGCCCACCUAGGCGACGAUCCCUAGCUGGUCUGGGAGGAUGACCAGCCACACUGGAACGGAGACACGGUCCAGACUCCUACGGGAGUCAGCAGUGGGGAAUAUUGCACAAUGGGCGCAAGCCUGAUGCAGCCAUGCCGCGUGUAUGAAGAAGGCCUUCGGGUUGUAAAGUACUUUCAGCGGGGAGGAAGGCGAUGUGGUUAAUAACCGCGUCGAUUGACGUUACCCGCAGAAGAAGCACCGGCUAACUCCGUGCCAGCAGCCGCGGUAA